rnacentral:rRNA from 1 species
AACGAACGCUGGCGGCAUGCCUAACACAUGCAAGUCGAACGAGACCUUCGGGUCUAGUGGCGCACGGGUGCGUAACGCGUGGGAACCUGCCCUUAGGUUCGGAAUAACUCCCCGAAAGGGGUGCUAAUACCGGAUAAUGUCUUCGGACCAAAGAUUUAUCGCCUUUGGAUGGGCCCGCGUUGGAUUAGCUAGUUGGUAGGGUAAAAGCCUACCAAGGCGACGAUCCAUAGCUGGUCUGAGAGGAUGAUCAGCCACACUGGGACUGAGACACGGCCCAGACUCCUACGGGAGGCAGCAGUGGGGAAUAUUGGACAAUGGGCGGAAGCCUGAUCCAGCAAGGCCGCGUGAGUGAUGAAGGCCUUAGGGUUGUAAAGCUCUUUUACCCGGGAUGAUAAUGACAGUACCGGGAGAAUAAGCUCCGGCUAACUCCGUG